UACAGAGGUCCCAAGCGUUGUUCGGAUUCACUGGGCGUAAAGGGUGCGUAGGUGGUUUUGUAAGCCAGGUGUGAAAUCCCCGGGCUCAACCUGGGAAUGGCAUUUGGGACUGCAAGGCUGGAGUGCGGCAGAGGAGACUGGAAUUCCUGGUGUAGCGGUGGAAUGCGCAGAUAUCAGGAGGAACACCGGUGGCGAAGGCGGGUCUCUGGGCCUAACCUGACGCUGAGGCGCGAAGGCUAGGGGAGCGAACGGG
rnacentral:rRNA from 1 species